CCCUGUAACAAAGGACAAGAAAAACAAAAAAAAAAAAGAAGAAGAUUAAGUUGAGAAUAUAGAGGAACUACUGAGGAAGUGUGAACAGAGAGAGAGAACAUAGUUUACAUAGAUCACUGUACUUAAUUAUUGUGUUUUAGGCUUUGAUGGCUCCGUCAAGUCCAAGAUUGGUGGUGAAGGUUGAUUUGAAGAAGAAGCCAUGGCAGCAGAGUAAGCCACUGCAUAAUAGAUGGCAUCCUGAGAUACCAUCAGUUGCAACAGUAAAGGCUGGUGAAUUUUUCAGAGUGGAAAUGAUUGAUGCAAUGGGAGGUGUUGUUAAAGACGAUGCCUCUGCAGACGAUAUUAAGAACGCAGACCUUUCUACUAGUCAUCACCUAAGUGGACCGAUCAGGGUUCUGGAUGAGGAUGGUGUUGCAGCCAAGCCAGGUGAUCUUCUUGCUGUUGAGAUAUGCAAUUUGGGUCCUUUACCAGGAGAUGAAUGGGGAUACACUGCUUCGUUUGAUAGAGAGAAUGGUGGUGGCUUCUUGACUGACCAUUUCCCUUGUGCGACCAAAGCUAUUUGGUACUUUGAAGGGAUCUAUGCCUACUCUCCUCAUAUUCCUGGAGUACGUUUUCCGGGUUUGACACACCCAGGAGUCAUUGGCACAGCUCCAUCAAAAGAACUCCUGAGAAUUUGGAAUGAAAGGGAAAGAAAAUUAGAAGAAAGUGAUCUCAAGUCCUUAACACUAUGUGAGGUUGUGCACCAGCGACCACUAGCAAACCUACCAACAACUAAAGGAUGCCUCCUAGGGAACAUAGAAGAGGGAACACCGGAAUGGGAAAUGAUUGCGAAGGAGGCUGCGAGGACAAUCCCAGGAAGAGAAAACGGAGGAAACUGUGACAUAAAAAACCUAAGCAGAGGCUCUAAAAUAUACCUUCCAGUGUUUGUGGAAGGGGCAAAUCUAAGCACUGGUGAUAUGCAUUUCUCGCAAGGAGAUGGUGAGAUCUCGUUCUGUGGUGCUAUCGAGAUGAGUGGAUUUCUAGAACUCAAGUGUGAAAUCAUAAGAAACGGGAUGCAAGAGUACCUUACGCCAAUGGGACCAACCCCUCUCCAUGUAAACCCGAUCUUUGAGAUAGGUCCAGUGGAACCGAGAUUCUCAGAGUGGCUGGUCUUUGAGGGUAUCAGUGUCGAUGAGCGUGGGAGACAACACUAUCUAGACGCAACAGUUGCUUACAAACGGGCAGUUCUCAACGCCGUAGACUAUCUUUUCAAAUUUGGUUACUCAAAAGAACAGAAAGAAAAAUUUCAUCAUGGUGUGAACAGGUAUACCUGUUGCUCUCAUGUUGUCCAUGUGAAGGAAGGAUAUCUGGUAUAGUUGAUUCUCCGAAUGCUGUUGCUACACUAGCAAUACCUACUGCCAUCUUUGAUCAGGCAAUGCAAACAUGUUAAUUGCUUUUGUAUGUUCGUUCAUGAAGGAUAUUCGGCCAAAGGUGCGUAAGGUUCCAGUAGGACCUCGGAUAGUGCGGAAACCAGACGUUUUGAAGAGCACAUAUGAUGGAAAGCUUCCAAUCACAAAGAAUCCAAGUUGGUCGACGUAGCUUCUAGAAAUAAAUUAUAUAGCAACGCAACUAUCAAAACUGUCUAAUCAGACAUAUGUUUUGAAAUAAAGAGAUAAAAUGA